rnacentral:snoRNA from 1 species
AAUUCGUGGUGUGGGCAUUUUUGAAUCAAUGUCUUAAAAUGCUCCCAAGCUUCGCGAAAACUUUCCCCCUCUAAUUGUUUGAAAUCAAAAUUUCCCUUCUUAGUU